GAUGAACGCUGGCGGCGUGCCUAACACAUGCAAGUCGAACGGAGUCCAGCCUUUAAGACCUUCGGGUCAAGGCGGGGAAGACUGAGUGGCGGACGGGUGAGUAACACGUGGGCAACCUGGCUCAUAGAGGGGGAUAACAGAGAGAAAUUUCUGCUAAUACCGCAUAAGCACACACUGCCGCAUGGCAGAGGGUGAAAAGAGAAUCGCUAUGAGAUGGACCCGCGUCUGAUUAGCCAGUUGGCAGGGUAAGAGCCUACCAAAGCGACGAUCAGUAGCCGAUCUGAGAGGAUGAACGGCCACAUUGGGACUGAGACACGGCCCAAACUCCUACGGGAGGCAGCAGUGGGGGAUAUUGCACAAUGGGGGGAACCCUGAUGCAGCGACGCCGCGUGAGUGAAGAAGUAUUUCGGUAUGUAAAGCUCUAUCAGCAGGGAAGAUAAUGACAGUACCUGAAGAAGAAGCCCCGGCUAACUACGUG
rnacentral:rRNA from 1 species